GUAGGGCGCGAGCGUUGUCCGGAUUUAUUGGGCGUAAAGAGCUCGUAGGCGGCUCAUUGCGUCAACCGUGAAAACCAGCAGCUCAACUGUUGGCUUGCGGUUGAUACGGGUGGGCUGGAGUUCGGUAGGGGAGACUGGAAUUCCUGGUGUAGCGGUGAAAUGCGCAGAUAUCAGGAGGAACACCGGUGGCGAAGGCGGGUCUCUGGGCCGAUACUGACGCUGAGGAGCGAAAGCGUGGGGAGCGAACAGGAUUAGAUACCCUGGUAGUCCACGCUGUAAACGUUGGGCGCUAGGUGUGGGGGGCCUCUCCGGUUUCCUGCGCCGUAGCUAACGCAUUAAGCGCCCCGCCUGGGGAGUACGGCCGCAAGGCUAAA
rnacentral:rRNA from 1 species